rnacentral:rRNA from 1 species
CCUACGGGAGGCAGCAGUGAGGAAUAUUGGUCAAUGGCCGAGAGGCUGAACCAGCCAAGUCGCGUGAGGGAAGACGGCCCUACGGGUUGUAAACCUCUUUUGUCGGGGAGCAAAGCGAGUCACGUGUGACUCAUUGAGAGUACCCGAAGAAAAAGCAUCGGCUAACUCCGUGCCAGCAGCCGCGGUAAUACGGAGGAUGCGAGCGUUAUCCGGAUUUAUUGGGUUUAAAGGGUGCGCAGGCGGAGGUGCAAGUCAGCGGUCAAAUUGCGGGGCUCAACCUGUGGCCUGCAUUUGAAACUGGUUGUCUUGAGUGCGGGAGAGGCAAUCGGAAUUCCGGGUGUAGCGGUGAAAUGCGUAGAUAUACGGAGGAACACCAGUGGCGAAGGCGGAUUGCUGGACAGUAACUGACGCUGAGGCGCGAAAGCGUGGGGAGCAAACAGGAUUAGAUACCCGUGUAGUC